rnacentral:rRNA from 1 species
GACGAACGCUGGCGGCGUGCUUAACACAUGCAAGUCGAACGGAAAGGCCCUGCUUUUGUGGGGUGCUCGAGUGGCGAACGGGUGAGUAACACGUGAGUAACCUGCCCUCGACUUUGGGAUAACUUCAGGAAACUGGGGCUAAUACCGGAUAGGAGCUCCUGCUGCAUGGAGGGGGUUGGAAAGUUUCGGCGGUUGGGGAUGGACUCGCGGCUUAUCAGCUUGUUGGUGGGGUAGUGGCUUACCAAGGCUUUGACGGGUAGCCGGCCUGCGAGGGUGACCGGCCACAUUGGGACUGCGGUACGGCCCAGUCUCCUACGGUAGGCAGCGGUGGGGAAUAUUGCGCAGUGGGCGGACGCCUGAUGCAGCAACGCCGCGUUCGGGAUGUCGGCCUUCGGGUUGUAAACCGCUUUCGCCUGUGACGAAGCGUGAGUGACGGUAAUGGGUGAAGAAGCACCGGCUAACUACGUG